GCAAUUACUACUGAGAACUCAUCCCCUGAAGUUUGCUCAGGAAUUAGAGAAGCCAAGGAACAAACUUGGGUGGGUGCAGCGGAGCCUGCAAGGACCACCACAUCUCUGUUAAAAUGCUGUGCCACUGACCACCUUCUACUUGUUUACUUAUUUUGGCUCCUGUUUUCAGUCCCUUGCCACAAAGCCACAAACCACAGGAAGGUAGAAAACUACAGCAAAUUGGCUCUCAUACCCAUCCCUGACAAUCACAUCAUUGCUUUAUAGGUCAUGCAAAUGGGAAACUGCAGAAGCUGAGCUGUUCUUGGGAUCUCUAACUCAGUUCUCUGUCAGGGAGACAGGAGUAGUAACAGGACCUCAGAGCAUAAGGCCUCAGACAUGAGCAGAUACCAGCACUCUGGCAGGGAACAGGUCCACUGGAGCUUCUCUCGUGGUCAGGAUUCACACUGAGGGCUUGGACCAUGGCCACAGAGCAGCAGAUGCACAGCCCCAUGACCAUCCUUGAGCAUGCAUGGUCCCCACGGAGCUCAGACCAUGCUUUCUGUGUAUCUAUUGCAUCCUUUCCCUUUUUGAGCUCUGCUUUGCAGAUGAACAGGACUUUCCAUGGACUUUGGAUGAAGCUAAGAGGCGGACAUAUAAUUCAUGCUCAGAAACCACCUUUCAGCUCAUCUGGAAGGACUCCAGGCACCACCACCACCACAUCUCUCUGCCAGUCCAGAAUUAUAAAUCACUUUUCUAUUAAACAGCAGGCUUAAAAAUGCAUCCAUACAUACUUUAAAUAUAUGCAGCCAUCUCUGAUUCCCAGCAGAUGAUCCAAAAAUUAAAGAAUUGUGCCCAA
rnacentral:lncRNA from 1 species